ACCCACUCCCGUCCCACGUCCCGUCUCCCAACUCCCAAGUCCCAAUCUCCCCCACCUCUCUCUCCCGAUCUGUCCUCUCUCUCGACCUCAUGAGAAAAAUCGCCGCCGUCGCCUCCGCCCCAACACUCGUCCGCCACGAUGAACUGCCCAUCUCCAUCGCCGUUCGAUGCUCGUCUCAGUCACCGUGGCGCAGCCCGUGCAAGCCGCCCUUGUACGGCCUCCUCGCCUCCGCCGCCGCAACAACCGCCGCUUCCAUGGACUACGUCGACGAGCGGCCAACCAGAUCUAGUGCAGCGCUGCCGAUGUCUGGGUGGAAGAUGAGCGUGAGCUUCCGGGGUCAGCAUACCACCGGGAAAGAGGGCAGACGGAUGAGAGGGAGGCUCUCCAAGGAGGAAGCCGGCCAGCUUGUCACCAGGGGAAGCCGACCAGCAUAUAUAGGCAUGGUUGUCGUUGGCAGAGAUUGUGUAGGGCUGGACUAUCUUUGAGAUCCUGCGGUACAUGUCGGAGCAUAACUGGUCGGCGUACGAGGAGGCCCUCAAGGCCAAUCCGGUUCUUGCCAAGAUGAUGAUCAGCGGUGUCGUCUACUCCCUCGGCGACUGGAUAGCCCAGGUUUGCUCAUUAAUUACAUGCACGGAUGAUGUUUGUGGUACCAGGGUGCUUGAGCGCGACGACACGCCUACUUAGUUCCUAGCGCUCGCGAACGCCGGAGUUGGACGCGCCCAUGCAUGCAUUUUAGCUCUGAGGACGGCAUCGUGAACGCACGUACUCGGGUGCUCCUCAGCAGCAGUUGAUCCACGUGGGGUCCUACUUGAGUUCCUCCGUCCCCUGGCAGCGAGGCAGCAGGUCCCCGUCCCCCUCUCCGUCUCCGGCAUGUUGAUCCCGGUGGCGUCACAGUGGUGGUGUGUGUGGUGUCAUGUCACAAUAAGGUAGCAUCUAUUCUUUCCCCACCCUAAUUUUUGUGGUCAGCGUCCGGAGCCCAACCUACCGAUCGUUGUCCCCAAACCUCACCGACUUCUUCGGUGGGUGCUCUUUCUUCCCCCUCUCUCGUUUCACUUGACGCUGAUAGCUGAUUGCUAGCAUCCUCGGUUGUGCUCAUGUCUUCUAAAUUUGGCAUGGUAUGCAUUUGCUUGAGAUGAGGGUAUGGGAUGGAGGUGGCUCUAAUUUCGAGGCUGUGGUUUAUUGGGCUUAUAAUGUCGACAUGAUUAAUGAUGUGAACCGUAUGUUUUGUUUUCCACAAAAUAGGUUUUUUCUAUGCAAUAUGAGGCUAGGUUUCAAGUAACAUGUGCCUUGCAUUCGAUGGCUAUACAGUAACAUGCUCUCGGAGAAAAGGUUAUGUUUCAUGUUAUUAUUAUCUAUUGCCUUGCAUUCGAUGGAAAAUUGACAACCGCUAUGUCAUAUCUUUGCCCACUCAUGAUGCCGAUAAAUAGUUCAAAAAAAUUAGAAAGACUUAUAUAUUUCACUAUGCUAGCUACAUAUGUUUAUGAUGGUUUAUUUUCACCAAAUUUUGUUGCACUUUGACAGUAGACUAUGUGAUAAUUUGUAAUAGAGUUCAGAGAAACUGGCAACACACAGUUCCAAAAGAGUGCAAUGCACAUGGAAGGAAAGACUGUAGUAUUAGCUGUUGUAAUCUAUGAAAUUUCGUACUCCGUGAGUAAGGUUAAGAAUGACCAACUGAUUGAACUUGUUCACAACGUUAACAGUAAUCAUGAUAAACUUAGUAUUCCUGACUUUCUAUUUCUUGUUGUUUUCUACUGUGGACCUAUUUGCAGGUUUUUACAGAGGAAUUAGUUUAGGUGUUACUGGUUCACUUGCUACAGCUGAAACAUAUUUUGCUGUUAUUGUUAUUGAAUGAACUAAGAUAUGGCUGGAGCACACUAAUCCUAAUCUAAGAGGUCAUUUCUCUCACUUAUUUGUUGGAGGAGUUAGAGAGAGAAAUUUUUUUAUGACCACUGUGUUUUCUUUCCAGAAAAUCUGCAUGACGUGGCCUAAAUUUAUAUUGGUUCUCAGCAUGUUACUAGGAUCUUGCUGCACAAAUGGAUUUUUGUAUGUCCUGCAUGGAGUUCUCGAUAAGUUAAUCCUUGUCAUUUUUUAGUGCCACCAAUGCAUGUGGUCUUUGUAUAUUAAAACUUUUCCGGUCUCUGUUUUGGCUCAUGUAAUACUUACCGAUACGAUUUACUUGUUCAUCAGAAUAAUGUGUUGAUUCCUUGACACAACAUAAGCUUUUUUUCAAGCUCA